rnacentral:lncRNA from 1 species
AGUGCUGCAAUGGCGAACUGCGCUCUGUGGGGAGAAGCCGAGUUAACGCAUCCUCCUCUGUCUUGUGUGUGCUUGCAGGACACCACGGGUUAGCCCAAGAUGAAGACAAGACGGAGAGGCGGCUGGGCCCCAGGCGGGUGUGACAGCCCACGGGGGGACAGGAUGCAACCGUGACUGUCUACAUGCAGGACCCAUCAGCCCCGAGAGCCCUGAAACUCCCCAAGGGAGCGGAGUGCCAAAGGCCCCCAAACUGACCAAAGUCACCGGCCCUGGUCCUGCAUCCGGUGGGGACUUCCGGCGUCUUCCUCGCAGCCUCGGACAGCCUGUUGGCUUUGGAUGCACGCCUUGCUUUCCAGUGAGCAUCCCGCCCCUUUGCCGCCCCAACACAGUGUGCAUGAGGCAAGCGUGAGGCUUCUAAGUGAACCUGGGAGUCAGCAACAGGCAUGAAAGAUAUUUUCACAAAAGUAUUCUCCGGGAUGCCUGAGUUGGGGGGAAGAAAGCUUGUGACGGACAAUGUGGGCACAAAGCAAGAAGCUGCAAGUAAUGGACACCACUGUGUACAUCCACUCACGACUGUGAGCAGCGCAACCUGAGUCAGAGGCGCUGGUGCCGACAUCCCCAAAUCCCCCAUCCUACCAAGGGCACCCCUGAUUUCUGCCAACCGGGAGCAUUUUCUACCCAGAAAUAGCUGCUUACCCUCUGGCACAUUAAGAGCAAACUUUCUGAUUUGGUGGUUGAGACUCAGAGUAUAGUGGUUUAACCAUAGGACAGAGCUGCGGGUGGAGCAAGUCUGGGCGCUCAAAAGCACCUCUCCUGCACCCCUAGGAGAAAGGGGGAACUGUUCGAUUUGUCUGGGGGUCAGGAGGUUGGCUGGGGGCGGGGGGAGGUUGGGAGCCGAUGGAUGGAGCGCCAAGUGCCACGCCAGGCUGCCUCUCCCUCCUGUUUCUGCCUCCCUACCUCAUCUUCUGCCAUUUCCAGAGGCAGGAGAAAGGUGAUCUCGGACUUGACCCCUAAAUCACAGCUGCUGGUGGCUGCACCUCGCUCCGGGAUGAGCGCAGCCCCUUCCCCGGGCUCGGGCAGCUUAACCCUUUCGUCCCCUCGCGCUCAGGGGCCGGCGGCAGCGGCGCCUCUGACCUCGGCACUGCCGAGCAGCCCGCCUCCUCCGCGCGGCACCUUGGAUCCCACGAGGAGACCACAAAAGGGCGAGACUGCGGGGCGCUGCAAGCCUGGGGCACGGGCUGGACGGCCGGGAGCGCUGCCGGGGAGCCGGAGGAAGAGCCGGAGUUAGCAGAACACAGAGGGAUGUUUGGAUCGUGUUAACUACCCAGACAGAUGCACUUCGGCAUGUCUGCAUUUAUGGAAUCCAUAUGUUGUCGUGGCAAAUGAAAGGACAGUAACACGUACAUACAAUAGACUUAGAAUAACAAUACACAUUCAAAAAGGGACCGCACAUUCUUCACCCUGCAACCCUUCUCUUAGAUCUAGCUCUGGAGUUGUAAGGAGAGGCGUCCUUUCAACCUCCCCUGCCUCCACACGGGGUUUUCUUUUUUCUUCCUCCUCCUUUUUUUUUUUUUUUUUUCCUGUCCCCAGUCCCCCAGCAGAAGAGAACCCAAGGCCCAGAAACGAGGCUCUUUGGAAGUGAGAUCUCCUAAGCUCCCCUUCACCUCCCUUCCCUCUUAAGACUGGCCCAUCGCAUCUUUUAGCCCUCGGACCAAAUCAUAGCUGUUCAUACUGCAACCCUAGACUCUGAAAAUUGCAGGGGAGCAGAUUCUUACUCAAAUUAACCAUCCACAUCUUCAUCAUUAAGCCAACAUUUCUGUGUUAGAGUUGCACAAAGGUAGCUUCAAACCGAUCUGGAAACAGAAACCUCCUGCCGGAGAGCACAGCUCUGGACAGUACCUGCAUUUAUGUACACCUUGUAUAUUCAUGUGCACAUAUAUGUUUACAUGUACAUAGAGAUGCAAAGACAUCUGAGGUCAUUCAAAUGUAUAUUUAUGUACCUGUUUAUGCAUAUAUCUUUGUGUUCAUAUAUACAUCCAUUCAUUUGAGCGAGAGACAGAGAAUAUACACAUCAAUGCGAUAUUUAGCCUGCAUUCCACUUUCCCUCCUACUGUAAAUGUCUUAAAAACAGAUUGGUCUAAAAUUUUCUGUCCUCUUGCCAGCUAAAUGAAGGAUUUAGAUUCUGAGUGUCUUGGUUCCUUUUUUCAUUUUGUACAUAAAAUAAUCCAUACAGAUGCUGG